GUCGAAAUUGUACUUAAAAGGAAAUGGUUUAACACUAUAACAGACAAAAGAUGAGACGUAGUAAAAGUAACUUGGAGACAUGAAAAUUUCGUGGCUUUACGAAGUGUUUAAUAAUAUAGUUGUGAAUGUUAAUGCAAGAAAGGGUUCAAAGUAGAAAAAUAAGAGAAAUAGAGAAGGUAAAAUGAUAAAAGAGUGAACAUAGGAAAAGAAAGAGAAGGUGGGGAAGAGAAAAAUGGAAAUUCUUUAGCAAUGGAUCUUUUUAUUGCUCAAAAUGUAAUUUCUUUUGAUUAGUUUUUAAUAAAAUCAAUGAUGUUGGUCAAAAAAAAAUGGUGAAAAAAAGAGAUGAAUACAAAGUAUAAAAAUGAGAGAGAA
rnacentral:lncRNA from 1 species